UACAGAGGUCCCGAGCGUUGUUCGGAAUUACUGGGCGUAAAGGGUGCGUAGGCGGUGGGGUAAGUUUGAGGUGAAAGCUCCGGGCUCAACCCGGAAACUGCCUUGAAAACUAUCCGGCUAGAGGGUUGGAGGGGAGACUGGAAUUCUCGGUGUAGCAGUGAAAUGCGUAGAUCUCGAGAGGAACACCAGUGGCGAAGGCGGGUCUCUGGACAACACCCUGACGCUGAGGCACGGAAAGCCAGGGGGAGCAAAACGG
rnacentral:rRNA from 1 species